AAAAAUGGCUUAUGCUAUGUUUAGCACAUGGUGGGUUAGGGAAACGUGCCUGCCAUACAAAAUUGCCAUCAAGGAAUUUCAAAAGCACAUUUUUUUGAAACUAGCAACAAUCCAUUUGAGGAGUUUAAUUAAGGGUUUAGAGC